rnacentral:rRNA from 1 species
AACGAACGCUGGCGGCAGGCUUAACACAUGCAAGUCGAGCGCAUCCUUCGGGGUGAGCGGCGGACGGGUGAGUAACGCGUGGGAACGUGCCCUCUUCUACGGAAUAGCCUCGGGAAACUGAGAGUAAUGCCGUAUACGCCCGCAAGGGGAAAGAUUUAUCGGAGGAGGAUCGGCCCGCGUUGGAUUAGGUAGUUGGUGGGGUAACGGCCUACCAAGCCGACGAUCCAUAGCUGGUUUGAGAGGAUGAUCAGCCACACUGGGACUGAGACACGGCCCAGACUCCUACGGGAGGAAGCAGUGGGGAAUCUUGGAAAAUGGGGGCAACCCUGAUCCAGCCAUGCCGCGUGAUCGAUGAAGGCCUUAGGGUUGUAAAGAUCUUUCAGCUGGGAAGAUAAUGACGGUACCAGCAGAAGAAGCCCCGGCUAACUCCGUG